AUAAAGUAGGAAAUACCUAUUUCCCAAAUGAUGCCAUAAACUGUUAAAAAACCGACAUUUACAUUUUUAUCAGUUAAAUUGAAGAACAUAAAAUUGGUAAACGAAACUAUUUUUAUAUAAAAGCUAGAACUAGACUAGCUUCAUCAUCAGUCAACUUUAGUUCACAGCAAUCACCUAAACAAUCCUGAUAUCAUCAUGGUUUCUUCAAAGAUUAUCAUCCUCGCUAUCGCCCUGUUCGCCUGCAUCAUGCAUACGCAAGCUGCGUCAUCUGAUGACGAAGACAAGAA